rnacentral:ncRNA from 1 species
GUGAUGAUAGCAAGGGUUGAAAGCCAUCUGUGGCUUUGCCCGUGUCUGCAUGAAGGAAAUACCUCUGUAGACCUGCUGAAACGUCAC